AUUAGAUACCCUAUUAUUUUUAAUGUAAAUAAAUUAAUCCUGAGUAGUAGUAGAUAUGAUCUUGAAACUUAAAGAAUUUGGCGGUAUUAAAGUCUAUUUAGAGGAAUCUGUUGUGUAAUCGAUAAUCCGCGUUGAAUCUUACUUAAAUAAAUUUCUUGUAUAUCGCUGUUUAUGAAAAUAUUAUAAGAUGAAUUUUCUCAAUAUUUAAAUUGUUAGAAUUUCAAGUCAAGGUGCAGUUAUAUUAAAGUUUGAAUGGAUUACAAUAAAUUUUAUUUAUAUGAAUACAAUAUUGAAAUAUUUGUUUGAAAGUGGAUUUAAUUGUAAUUUUUUAAAGAUUGUUAAAAUGAUUUUAGCUCUAUAAUAUGUACACAUCGCCCG
rnacentral:rRNA from 1 species